ensembl:rRNA 5S_rRNA 5S ribosomal RNA
GCCAGCAGCCAUAUCACCCUGCAACUCACAACUAGCAACCAACUGAAGCUAAGCAGGUGUGAGCCUGGUCAGUACCUGGCUGGGAGACCCCCUGGGAAAAACUAAGGUUGCUGCUGGAA